UACAGAGGAGCCAAGCGUUGUCCGGAUUGACUGGGCGUAAAGCGCACGCAGGCGGGUGCGCGCGUGGGGUGUGAAAUCUGGCCGCUUAACGGCCAGGCGCCAUCCCAUACGGCGCGCCUGGAGCCUUGCAGAGGUCGGUGGAAUUGCCGGUGUAGUGGUGAAAUGCGUAGAGAUCGGUAGGAACACCAGGGGAACCAGCCGACUGGGCAAGUGCUGACGCUGAGGUGCGAGAGCGUGGGAGCGAACCGG
rnacentral:rRNA from 1 species